rfam:Morganella morganii subsp. morganii KT, complete genome.
ACGUGGUUCUACUGUUUGAGUAUCCUGAAAACGGGCUUUUCAGAUCAGUAUUACCCCAAAAUUUUUAGGAGUGCAUAGUGGCCCGUAUAGCAGGCAUUAACAUUCCUGAU